GGAUUAGAUACCCUGGUAGUCCACGCCGUAAACGAUGAGUGCUAGUUGUUGGGCCUUGAGCUCGGUGACGUAGCUAACGCGUUAAGCACUCCGCCUGGGGAGUACGGUCGCAAGAUUAAAACUCAAAGGAAUUGACGGGGACCCGCACAAGCGGUGGAGCAUGUGGUUUAAUUCGAGGCAACGCGAAGAACCUUACCAGUCCUUGACAUCCUAAUCGCGGGUAGUGGAGACACCACCCUUCAGUUCGGCUGGAUUAGUGACAGGUGCUGCAUGGUUGUCGUCAGCUCGUGCCG
rnacentral:rRNA from 1 species